GCAAACUUGGUCAUUUAGAGGAAGUAAAAGUCGUAACAAGGUUUCCGUAGGUGAACCUGCGGAAGGAUCAUUACCGUGUCAAUGGGGCUCGUCCCCAUCAUCACACCCCCCUGUGAACUAUUCGACCCUACUACUUCUGCGUCUUUGGCAAACGUCCAGUGGCCAUAGACCUUGCCAAAGCGCAGAACGAACAAACCCGUCGUUUGUGGUACUGUCUGAGCGAGAUUUUACAAACAUUAAAACUUUCAACAACGGAUCUCUUGGUUCCAGCAUCGAUGAAGAACGCAGC
rnacentral:misc_RNA from 1 species